rnacentral:rRNA from 1 species
AAGGAAUAUUGCUCAAUGGGAGAAAUCCUGAAGCAGCAACGCCGCGUGGAGGAUGAAGGGUCUAUGACUUGUAAACUCCUGUAAAGAAGGAAAAAAUUCCCAUUUGAUGGGAGAUGAUGGUACUUCUGGAGUAAGCCCCGGCUAACUACGUGCCAGCAGCCGCGGUAAUACGUAGGGGCAAGCGUUGUCCGGAUUUACUGGGUGUAAAGGGUGCUCAGGCGGAUUUGUAAGUCAGAGGUGAAAUCUUACAGCUUAACUGUGAAACUGCCUUUGAUACUGCAAGCCUAGAGUAUGGAAGAGAGUGAUGGAAUAUCUGGUGUAGCAGUGAAAUGCGUAGAUAUCAGAUAGAACACCAAUGGCGAAGGCAGUCACUUGGUCCAUUACUGACGCUAAAGCACGAAAGCGUGGGUAGCAAACA